rfam:Pan troglodytes isolate Yerkes chimp pedigree #C0471 (Clint) chromosome 11, whole genome shotgun sequence.
GCUGGGCAUGGUGGCCUGUGCCUGAAGUCCUAGCUACUGGAGAGGCUGAGGCAGGAGGAUCAUUUGAGCCCAGGAGUUCGAGGAUGCAGUGAUCGUGCCACUGCACUCCAGCCUGGGCAACAGAGAGACAUCCUGUCUCUA